ACUGCUGGACUCUGCGAGCCGGUCUCCACAGGCGCCACAUGUGUCCUUAUUCUCUGUUGUGCUUUCUUUCUUUCUUUUUUUUUUAAAUUUAUAACUUUUAUUAAAAUGAUCCCUUCCAGGUUCUAAACAGGUUUUCUUUUUCUUUUAAAUCACAGUAAUGAAGCAAAUUCCAGUGAUAGAAUUCCCGGCGCUAAACCAUCCUCAGAGUUUCAACAGACACGAGUAUGGCAGUGUGUAAAAAAGUGGAUGUGGAACCGAUGUGAAUCUGCAACAUGUAUACGGGGGCUGAGGGGGGGCAUCCAAGGAAGGAAGAACUUGGAAGGGGUUCAGACAUCAUGGAGGAAGGUGUGCUUCAGCCUCGGCAUGGCAGAAGAGUUUGCUGGCUUAGCCUGCCUGAGCUGGUGGGUGUUGCUGGACACCAUGCAAUGCUGUGGGGAGCAGACCGUGAAGCAGAGGAUCAGCAGCCAGUGCCAUGCGUGCACAGUGGGAACCCACGAACCUUCUGCCACCAUGGGAAGGAGUCUGGUUUAGCCUUCUAGAGGAUGAGAGCUCAUGCAGAUGUUGAGUCCAGCCAGUCCAACAUUCCUAGCUGACACCAUGCUAGACCAUCCAGCACCAGAGCCAAACCAGAACAGACCAAAAAAACCCACAUACCAGAAAGCAAUAAGAAAUGCCUCAGCAUUAAAAGAGAAUAAAAUCAUGGCAUUUGUAAGUAAAUGGAUAGAGUUGGAGAAUACUAUGCUAAGUGAAUUAAGCCAAUAUCAAAAAAACAAAGGCCAAAUGUUUUCUCUGAUAUGUAGAUGCUGAUCCAUAAUGGGUAUGGUGGGGAGGGGAGCCUGGGAGGAAUAGAAGAAGUUUAGAUAGGGCAAAGGGAGGGAGGGGAAGAGAGGAGGCAUGGGGGUAGGAAAGACAGUGGAAUGAGAUGGACAUCAUUACCCUAAAUACACGUAUGAAGGCACAGAUGGUAUGACUCUACUUUGUAAACAACCAGAGGCAUAAAAAAUUAUGCUGUAUAUGUGUACUAUGAAUUGAAAUGCAUUCUGCUGUCAUAUAUGACAAAUUAGAAUAAAUAAAUAAAUUUUUAAAAAAGAAAUGUUUGUUAUUUUAAGUGAUCAUGCUCCAGUUUUGUGAUGGAAAAAAACAGACACAAAAUAAUAAAAACUUUAAUGAGAAUAUUUCCAAAAAUGUAUGCUCAUAUAUUAAUAUUAUAUUAUAGCAAUAAACUAUUAUAAGCAACUUAAUUACCUGGGAAAAAAAGCUUUGUUUACCCUAAGGAACAGGUUUGUUUGUACCUGGUGAGUCAUUUUUCUUAAAGAAUUAAUCCUAUUUCCUUUUUUACUCAGAUACCAAGAAAAGCAGAGCCCACUUGUGGCUCAUUUUUUAGCUCUUCUAAAUGUUCAAAUUCUUCUCCAAGUUUUAAUUUUCUAUUUAUAUGUUUCUCUGUUCCUAACCAAUAACUCAUUUAUAAUUUGCCUGUUUGGGUUUAUAUAUUCACAUAAGAUGUCUCUAAUGAUUUUUUUUUUGGAAUGAGAUUAGAUAUGAGCAUAUAUAAUUUUUGGCAUAUAAAAAUAAUGUCACCACUUAUGAAUAUAAUGCUAAAACCAUAAAAGACAUUGCAUUUUCUUUUAUAAUAAAGCUAUUUACUUCACUGUAUGAAGCUCACUUUUUGCAAAAGAUCAAAAUAAAAUGUGUGAUUUCCGGUUCAGACAAUAAUUAUCUUGAAUUAAAAAGCAAUAACAAACAAAAA